rnacentral:rRNA from 1 species
UACGUAGGGGGCAAGCGUUGUCCGGAUUUAUUGGGCGUAAAGAGCGUGUAGGCGGCCAUACAGGUCAGCUGUGAAAAUUCGAGGCUCAACCUCGAGACGUCGGUUGAAACCGUAUGGCUAGAGUCCGGAAGAGGAGAGUGGAAUUCCCGGUGUAGCGGUGAAAUGCGCAGAUAUCGGGAAGAACACCUAUGGCGAAGGCAGCUCUCUGGGACGGUACUGACGCUGAGACGCGAAAGCGUGGGGAGCGAACAGG